rnacentral:rRNA from 1 species
CCUACGGGGGGCUGCAGUGGGGAAUAUUGCACAAUGGGCGCAAGCCUGAUGCAGCCAUGCCGCGUGUGUGAAGAAGGCCUUCGGGUUGUAAAGCACUUUCAGCGGGGAGGAAGGCGGUGAGGUUAAUAACCUCAUCGAUUGACGUUACCCGCAGAAGAAGCACCGGCUAACUCCGUGCCAGCAGCCGCGGUAAUACGGAGGGUGCAAGCGUUAAUCGGAAUUACUGGGCGUAAAGCGCACGCAGGCGGUCUGUCAAGUCGGACGUGAAAUCCCCGGGCUCAACCUGGGAACUGCAUUCGAAACUGGGAGGCUAGAGUCUUGUAGAGGGGGGUAGAAUUCCAGGUGUAGCGGUGAAAUGCGUAGAGAUCUGGAGGAAUACCGGUGGCGAAGGCGGCCCCCUGGACAAAGACUGACGCUCAGGUGCGAAAGCGUGGGGAGCAAACAGGAUUAGAUACCCCUGUAGUC